GUUGUUCAAAUUUUAGUUAUAAUUCUUAGUUUUUAAUCAGUUUUAUUGAAAUAUGUUUUCCUUCUAAUUCAUGUUUUGCCGACUGGAAUAUAAUGAAUUGACGAUUGCCUGACGACUGGGGGCGUUUCACACCCGUCACACUCUCCUAGCUCCGCCAAUGUUAAAGCAUUAAAACCCAAUGUUAUGCAAGGACGAGUUUCAAAUAUACUGUAACAUCAAGUUAGCAAUUAAGGUGUAUAGGUAUCAAUGAUGUAACAAUACCCUACCCUCUAGGUUUAGGAGCGGGCUUAAGUAAAUAGUAGCGUGCCAACCUGUUUCAGUGACCUAUGCUUCCAAACAACACUUUCGAACUAAAUAUGCGUUUCACUUGCACACAAUUUAAACCGGACGGAUUCUUCCUGGAAAUGCAUGGUUGGAAUUAAAAUCCAUGCACAGUCAACAUCAUCUAUCAAGGUAAGGUUUGGUUUUUCUUAGUAUUU